CCCGGCUGAUGUGCUGGCCAGUGCGGGGAGGCUGGCAAGACACACACUGAUACCUGGAAACAAUGAAAUAUGGGAGUCAGGAGGUGGCCGAUGCUCCGGAGAAAACCGAAGCUGAUUAAGGACAGCAAGAAGGCUGCCGUCUGCAAGCCAGGACGGGGGUUCUCACCAGGAACGGAAUCUGCCAGCACCUUGAGCUUGGACUUCCAGCCUCCAGAACUCUGAGAGUCUCUGGAGCUGGCGACGUGCCAGCAGCAUCCUCCAGGCUGAUGGGCGUGCUCGGUGGAGAGCUCCAGGAGCAGCAGGCAACUUGGACCCCAGCCCCAGGUUUUCUCCUCAGGAAACGAGGGGUUGAAUUAGAUAACAAAGGCUACUUGUUCUCUUCUCUCUGAAUCUUGGUGGAGGAGCAACACAGGGAAAAUCAGUGCAGUCAGAGGCCCGUCUCCCGCUACU